rnacentral:rRNA from 1 species
AUUGAACGCUGGCGGCAUGCUUUACACAUGCAAGUCGAACGGCAGCACGGGGGCAACCCUGGUGGCGAGUGGCGAACGGGUGAGUAACACAUCGGAACGUGCCCAGUUGUGGGGGAUAACCUAUCGAAAGGUAGGCUAAUACCGCAUGAGCUCGGCAAGAGGAAAGCGGGGGACUCAGCGAUGGGCCUCGCGCGACUGGAGCGGCCGAUGUCCGAUUAGCA